GCAUGGACUUGGAUUUAUGGCAGGCUCCUCCCCCUGGGUCUCUCACAGUGCCCCAUGCCAGAGCACCCUGGCCCGGAACCACUGCCUGGUCUCUGCCUGUGGGCUGCAGGCACUGAAGCGGGCCACACAGUG